ensembl:lncRNA
GUUUUGGGGAGCAAGUGAGGACAGGAGGAUACCCUGGGUUCUAUAUCUUGCAUCAACAAUUGCUUCAACCAGUCUCGAACCAUCUACGAUGAAGAAAUGCAGCGGCGGCGUGAUGGAGCCCACAGAGGGACGGCCUCUCUGCUCCUCCUGCCUGGCGGCGCUUCCAGCAACAGGCCUUGUGUGGCCCCUGCGCCCCCGUGGAGCCAUGCUGUUCGCUUUGCCGGUGCCAAGGUGGAGGAAAACAACUGAAGCGAGGGGGGAUGGACCCCGACCCCAAGGGGGAUCCCCCUAGACCCUGACAUUUCCCCCUUUUCUCUCUACAGUCGGUUGUGCUGUAAGGAGAAUUCAAAGUUGCUUGUGGAAUGUUCCUCCAUCGCUGACCUCCAUAGCCACCCUGCAGCUGCCCUGCAGUGUUAUUCACCGCUUGCAGACAAGCCAUUCCAUCACACACUAUGUGAAGGUGGGAGGGGGCAGACAGCUUUUUAUCAGCUGUCUGCUCGUCCACUCCUUGAGCGCAAUGCGGGUUGGCUAAAGUGACGCUUUUCUCAACCUCGGUGUAUUUUUCACGCUUUCAGAUAAGCAACUCCAUCACACACAGGGCCCUAUUUUAACGGUAUCAAACGCAAGUGAAAAGCGCCAAACGCAAGUAGCUUUGUCGGUGUUUCUAUGGCGAUGUUGCUAUUGUACCGGCGGAUAAAUGACUCUUUCGCAAACGAAAAAGGGUUGCGCUGAAGUAGCCUAAUUACCUGUAGGUGUGGUUUGGACGUAACGUGCAAUGAACAGAAUCAGAGCGUAAUCUCACAUUCACUUUAAAAGCGAGGCACACUUGUUCCAUGGCGGAUUUCUAUUAUUAUGGCAUUUGCCAGGUGCACACCAGGAACGGUUCACAGCCGAGGAGACCGAUGUGCUCGUCAGAGCGCUUACUUUGUAUGGGGAUGGGAGAAACCCACCCAAAAUAGCAUCAGUUAAACAGGCCUGGGCAGAAAUCGCCACAGUUGCAUCAGAGGGCUACAACGAUGUCCGAAGGGGAGGUAAGGCCAAGCUUGCUGGCAACAAUCGAACACGCCGAAUGACUGGAGGUGGAUCUGCCAGUAACCAGGACCUCACGCAUCCCCUGGUUUGCCCAUUCACCUGCCUGCCACCCUGAUCUCCCCUAAUUAACCCAACCACCUUCACCUGUGAUCCUCUAUAUAAAUUCUCUCUCUCCACUCAGUCUCUGCCAGAUCGUCUCUCGUACUCACAGAGCUUUCCCGCAACUCCUGAACUGUUUCUACAACGCUGAUCCUGCCUGUUUCCGACCCCUCGCCUGUCUGACCACCCGCCUGUUGUCGAGUCCCUGCCGGCCUGUCUGCUUCCCUGUUUCCUGCUCCUCGCCUGCCUGUCUGCCCUCCCGUUGCCGACCCCUCGCCUGUCUGACCACCCGCCUUUUGUCGAGUGCCUGCCGGCCUGUCUGCUUCCCUGUUUCCUGCCCCUCGUCUGCCCUCCCGUUGCCGACCCCUCUCCCGGUCGGAGAACGCGCUGCAGCAGGUGAUGGCCGCCACCAGGGCCGCCACAGCUCAGGGACAGCAAGACCUGGCACAAGUCCCUUAGGAAUCGGCGAACGUCCAGGCCGGCGCCACCGCCCCACGUCCGGCCCCAGAGGCGACCGAAACUCCCGCCCCUCCACCCUCCGCUCACCUUCGCCUCCGAAGAAGCCCGGGUGGCUUACACAUAGACCAUCUCUCAGGACAGGGGCGUCUUUGGGGCACCGCUGAAUGGCAGAGAGGGACCCCCGUCUGUUGCCCCUUCCGCUCCUUUGCCGAAGAGUUUAGGAGAAUCUUCUGAACCGGUCCUCUGGGAGCUGAGGCCGGAUGAGAAUUGUUGGCCCUGUCCCAGGGAAGUCGUUCUGUCUCGGACUACGCUAUCGAGUUCCGCGCCAGGGUCCACAAUGUGUGAUUGGAACCUGGCCGCCCUCCGUGAUGUCUUCCUACAAGGGCUGGCUGGGUACAUCAAAGAUGAGCUCGUUGCCCACGACCCGCCAUCCUCAUUGGAAGCCCUGAUCGAGCUCGCUACCCGCCUCGACCUCCGAAUCCAGGCUCGCAGGAGGGAGAGACGUUCUGAGGUCCCACCACGCAGCCCUUCUCGCCCUUGGUCCCCAGUAAUCCCCGCCUUCCUUCCGCUGACCCCAACCGCUCCCUUGAGGAGGAGGGAUACGGAGCCCAUGUAGGUGGGUCGCACCCAUCUUUCCCCGGAGGAGAAGGAGAGAAGACGGAGGCAGAACCUCUGUUUGUUCUGCGGUCAGCCAGGACACUGAUCGAUGCCCGGUAAAAGCCAGAGCUCACCAGUAACCAGAGGCAUACUUGUUCUGCCCUGAAUAUGUUUUAUAUGUUAAAAGACUCUUAAAUUGACUGUUGAAACAUUUUAUUGUUGCAAAGGUAUUGUUGAGCCUUUAUUUUGAAAGCAACCUAGUUACAGGAAGCAGGAAGUAACAGUGUAAACAGUGAGAAGAUAUGAUGGCAUGUUUGUAUGGCUGUUAAUCCUUGAGUAAUCCUUUGUGUGUAUCCCUCAGAAAGCAAUGACUGUAAGUGUUAAACAUUCUUUACAUGUUGAACAAUUUAUAUUGAUGAUUAUAUUGACGAGUUUACUGAUAUGCAAGUUUGUAAGAAAGUAGCAGC